ACUGUUGCUAGGUUGACAAGCUUAACAAAAAGAAACAUGGCGACAAAUCAGCAGUCUGUUGCUAGAAACCUGCUCUACUUCAACAUUGUUAGUCUGAUAAAAAUGUGUGUGCAGGCUGAAAUUCAACCUAACUAACCAUCACCAGCGGACUUUGCUCUCCCCAAACCACUGUACAACCAGCCCCCAUCCCCUGCGCGCUCUCCCUGUCCCGCACCAAACCGCUCUGUUGCUAGGAGACUGGAGGGGUUGAGUCGGCUGCCCCCACCCCCGCUGGCAGUCUCACACACUGUAGCAGAGAGUCACUGAGGGGAGAGAGGAGCAGUCCUGCACACAGGCAGCCCCCAUGAUGUACAUUAUUUGAUAGAGUGUGUGACAUCCCCAAUAUCCCACCCAGCCGGAGACACAGACAGGCCCCGCAGACUAACACUGUUGACGUUCCAGUCACUGACUCAAAAUGGACUGGCCUGCAUGCAGGAUGAGCCCCAGGCGCCCCCCAUCCACCCCUCAGGGGAGGAAACAAGCUGCUCUUAUUUUGAAAGCCACAGCCGACCAGCCAGAAGUUGCAUUUACCAGUCUGGCAUGGUGAGGGGCUGCAAUGCGACGUGAACACACACUGACAGCCGUAUGGGACCAUGAGGCAGGGAGCUGUGGGUCAGGGCCCGGGGUGGCUACAGGCCAUCGGGACAGCGCAGCCAAGAGGCAGCCAGGAGACGACAGAAUGGGCGCAGUCGCCAUGGAAACACAAGCGGCCCAGGCAAAUCAUGGCAACUGGUAACUAAGUAACAGGAAACGACGGACCAUAGAGGGCGAUGAGUCUGGUUAAUCAUGAUGAGAGGGGGUAGCAGAGAGAGAGGAAGGGAGGGACAAUGACAGGGAGAUAAGGGCCACAGUUCUGGCUCACCGCAGACCCCUCUCCCCCAAAGUGUGGGCUCAUUCCCUCCCCACGUGCACUGCAUUGACACUGGAUUAGUGUCAGUGUGAGCUGGAGAGGCAGCCUCCACCCUUCUUUCACCAUCAUUUUCUUUGUAAAUCCAUGAGGGGGUGUAAAUGAGCGCACACUACAAGGAGAGGGGAAAUGAGCUGGAGUGCAGCUAUUAAACUGAGCUUUUGUGUGUGCGAGUGAGUGUUGAUAUUAAAGCAGCUUUGAUCAAUAUUUUUACAAUAACAAUGUGUCAAAUGACAAUGUGAAAACUAUGUGAAAAGGGUCGCUCGUAGUGACGAACCUACAAAGGUUUUACGGAGCUUUAUAGUGAGUUUCAGCUCAUUGUUU